rnacentral:rRNA from 1 species
UGGGGAAUAUUGCACAAUGGGCGAAAGCCUGAUGCAGCAACGCCGCGUGAGUGAUGAAGGCCUUCGGGUUGUAAAGCUCUGUCUUCUGGGACGAUAAUGACGGUACCAGAGGAGGAAGCCACGGCUAACUACGUACCAGCAGCCGCGGUAAUACGGAGGGUGCGAGCGUUAUCCGGAUUUACUGGGUUUAAAGGGUGCGUAGGUGGGCUUAUAAGUCAGUGGUGAAAUCUCCGGGCUUAACUUGGAAACUGCCGUUGAUACUAUACGUCUUGAAUUAUCUGGAGGUAAGCGGAAUAUGUCAUGUAGCGGUGAAAUGCGUAGAUAUGACAUAGAACACCAAUUGCGAAGGCAGCUUACUAGAUAUAAAUUGACGCUGAGGCACGAAAGCGUGGGGAUCAAACA